UGUUAGCGGCGGACGGGUGAGUAACACGUGGGUAACCUACCUAUAAGACUGGGAUAACUCCGGGAAACCGGGGCUAAUACCGGAUAAUAUUUUGAACCGCAUGGUUCGAUAGUGAAAGACGGUUUCGGCUGUCACUUAUAGAUGGACCCGCGCCGUAUUAGCUAGUUGGUAAGGUAACGGCUUACCAAGGCGACGAUACGUAACUGGUCUGAGAGGAUGAUCAGUCACACUGGAACUGAGACACGGUCCAGACUCCUACGGGAGGCAGCAGUU
rnacentral:rRNA from 1 species